GGGGCGGGCGCGCUGCUGUGGAGCACUUUGCGGGCCACCUUCUUUUUUUUUUUAAAAGUCAUCCUUACAAGGUUGCGGUGGUAGACGCACUACCACCCUACUGCCAAGGCAGCCUGGAUCAUAACACAGAACCUCGAUAGGGCCAGAGAUCAGAGAAGAGAAGAGAAGUUUGUUCCACCACACACCUACUGGAAACCUCAACAGCCAGGUGACACCACACACCUACUGGAGUUCUCAACAGCUAGGUGACAACUACAGCCACUGCCAUGACCACACAGAUCAUCUAGAGCUCUCCAGUUGACAGGCCCAGAGCUCCACUUGAAUCUUGGAUCUUGAACUUGAAAGCUCUCCAGUUGCAGGCCCAGAGCUCCAGCCUUGUACCCCAGAGACUCCCUGCACCACAGGGGGGGUCUACACACCACCAAGGUGUGGAUGGGUUUUGGUAAACCAGGGCCCUUCCUGGUGGGGUGACCGGGAUUCGAACCCAGGAUCUCUCGAAGCCUUAACGAAAUCAGCUUGAGUGUCUUAACCAUUUAGACGACCCCCCCGACCUUCUUGUACGCCGUCUGGUGUGCGUACUGGUCCCGCGAGCCUGCUAAGCAGACGUCGGAGCAUGUGGUUCGGGAGGUGGUCAGCGAGCUGCGCAGGGUGAUGCAGCUGCGUUUCACUGCCGCCACGCUAACCCCUGAAACCCUGUCGGCUCUGCCCACACAGCUUCUCACCGCGCAGCUCAAGGCGGCUAAGCUGGAGCACUUUGUUGCCAUCUGGACGGCAGGUGGCGCGCUUUGUGAAGUGGAGGAGGUUCAGGGUGGGUCACCGAAGUUGAACUUGCGGCUGACGCUUGCAUCACCUGUGCAGGCCCCCUGGGUUUCCUUUUGGGCGGCGUUUCUUUCCAAGCGCUGGCGUGGUGUACUAUCGUCAUCAGCUUAUCUGGCGCCCAUGUGUUUUAGCUCUGGCUGGCGUCACAGCGCCUGGGCGGCUGUGGGACUUCCUGCACAGCGCGUCUUGCAGCGGGCUGGAGCCCACUUAUUUAGCGCCACAUCUGGCCCGUUUAGUCUUCUGCUUGUGUCUCCUCUGCCGGUUCUCCUGGGGUGUUGCUUAAGCAACCGACUUGUGGGGGUGGGGUGGGUUUGGGCGGGGCGAGUGCGUAGCGCUGGUGUUUCUUUUUCUGGCGCGCGGUGGUGGUGGUUCUUGCGGUUAGGCUGUGGUGUAGGUUGGUGCUUGGGUUAGGUCUGGCUGUGUUUUUGUGCAACCCCUCCCGGGGGGCGGGGGGGCCAGCCUCCUGCUCUGUCUGCCGGGUCGGGGUGGGGUGGGGUGGGAUGGAUGGGGGUGGUUGUUGGCGGUUUUCGAGGUGUUUGUUUUCUGUUUUUCUUCUCUUUUCUUCUCUUCUUGCCCUGUCAGGGUUCUGGUCUCGGGGACCAGGCUGUCUUCAGGCAGCAGGGGGGCAGCGCGUCUGCCCCUGUUCAACCUUGUAAGGAUGAUCCCUCAAAAAAAAAAAACGCGGCGCGCACACAUUCUGCCUGCAUACCUUUUUGGGCUGAGCCCCCCGAGCGAAGCGAUCCAGGGGGGGGCGAAGCCCCCCAGGAUUGCCCCUGUCCGUGCCUGCCUGCGUGCCUGCCUGCGUCGACAAAAAGUGCCAAUCUGGCGCAAACCGCGAGUGCCACGUAUUAUUAAUUGCUAUUCCCUAUUGUAGAAAAAUAGGCGGCAGGGAAAACUCGGCCGGGGCGAGAAGCGACCUCGUGAGUCCAUGGACAUCUUGACUUUCUUCAGUCCGCGAGUAUAGCUCUCGGCCCCUAAAUAUCUUACAUCCAUGUAUCAAAACAUGUCGACGACAAGCGUCUUGGGGCAAGAAUGUCGAAAUUGUUUGCAACAGCCAAACCAUGCGUCCCCGAGCCUUAAAUGUGUCGCGGCCCGGGAUCCCGCGCCCGAGCCCGGCUAGCCGUUUGCGGUGCUUGAGUGGGAUGUGGGUGAGGUGCAUUUGGGAUAUCAUGGACCGUGAAGUGGCGUGGGUAAGGUGGCGUGGCGUGGCGGGGACAGGGCAUGUCGGUGCCUCGGCACGGCGUUGGCAUAGUGGCUAGUCCCGCUGGAUGGGCUUGCAAGGGUGCUGUUCAUGUCGCCGGUGCCCAUCGUCACAUCCCUUGCGCUUCAUGGGGCUCAGCCCAUUUUCCAGCUGUACAAAGCUGACACCCCUUGUUUUUUUAAAGUCAUCCUUACAAGGUUGCGGUGGUAGACGCACUCCCACCCUACUGCCAAGGCAGCCUGGAACAUAUCACAGAACCUCGAUAGGGCCAGAGAUCAGAGAAGAGAAGAGAAGUUUUUGUUCCACCACACACCUACUGGAAACCUCAACAGCCAGGUGACACCACACACCUACUGGAGUUCUCAACAGCUAGGUGACAACUACAGCCACUGCCAUGACCACACAGAUCAUCUAGAGCUCUCCAGUUGACAGGCCCAGAGCUCCACUUGAAUCUUGGAUCUUGAACUUGAAAGCUCUCCAGUUGCAGGCCCAGAGCUCCAGCCUUGUACCCCAGAGACUCCCUGCACCACAGGGGGGUCUACACACCAACAAGGUGUGGAUGGGUUUUGGUAAACCAGGGCCCUUCCUGGUGGGGUGACC
rnacentral:lncRNA from 1 species